rnacentral:ribozyme from 20 species
GUUCGUCUGAGCGAACGCAAACAGGCCAUUAAGCUCAGAGCGUUCACUGGAUUCGUCCAGUGAGAUUGGC